CACAGAUGGGUCUGAAAGGAAAGGAUAGAAUAUCUCCACCUUACAGAUGGAUUUUGUUUGGUAGAGUAAUCGUUGUAUACAGAGUGUCAGAUAGCUGUCGGAAUGUGGAAGCACGAACAGUAAUGAAUUCUGUGUGUGUAUUUACCUGUCAAUUGUCAACGAGAAACGACACAAUUUAGAUGUGUCAACAAGUAAGCAAUCAUUUUUUGAUAAUAAGGAGGGAGCCUGAACGAUGUUAGAGCUCUUAGUACCACAUAUAGUUUAAAAUGCUAGCAAAAAGUUCCACAGUGAUUGAAUGACGAAUUCUACGUCUCAGUUAAACUAUUUUGCUUAUAAAACGAUCAUGGCUUUGCCUAUAUUUGUUCAUUUUUUAUACUUACAUGCUUCGUAAAAGAUGAGGAUUUGCAAAAACCCAAUCGAUUUUCUCUUACACAAUAAAUAUAUAUGAGUUGAUUUAUUACUACAAUGUAGUGUCAUUUUUUUCCUGGCAAAGGGUAAAACUGUGACAGUACGUAUGUUGUCCGGGCUUGGAUCUAACUAUUUUGGGAUGUGAUCACGCAAUCGCCUUAGGGUCUCUUUGAUAGCAUGAAACGCUGUAAGCAUGUUAAACUCUUUUGAGGGGUUAGUUUGCAUAUUGAAAGACUGGAUUUCUAAUCUUCUGUAAAACGUCAGAAUUAUUUGAAGACAGUAGAAUUGUUUGCACUUUUCGCUCUGUC